AGUAACACGUGGAUAACCUACCUAUAAGACUGGGAUAACUUCGGGAAACCGGAGCUAAUACCAGAUAACAUGUUGAACCGCAUGGUUCAACAGUGAAAGACGGUCUUGCUGUCACUUAUAGAUGGAUCCGCGCCGCAUUAGCUAGUUGGUAAGGUAACGGCUUACCAAGGCAACGAUGCGUAGCCGACCUGAGAGGGUGAUCGGCCACACUGGAACUGAGACACGGUCCAG
rnacentral:rRNA from 1 species